GUGGAAUGCAAAAAUGGGGCUUCUUGACGUCGACGUCGUUAUCGAGAAAAUGCGAGAUCUUUGACGCCAUUUUUUCCUCAUUAUUUUUCCAUUAAUCUGGCAGUAAAACAGCGCUUAAUUAUAUAAUAAAUGACUUGUCAGCACAUUGGAUCCUGAUUCAUACAGAGUAAUCAACGGCAAAAAUAAUUUGCUACCGUUCAUCCUAUGACAGCAAGUGAAAUUAUCACGGGAAAAGAUUUUUACGAGGACAACUGAUUACGUCAUCUGACAUUGAUUGUUGAUAAAAUAUUGGUGAAUUGAUUCGAUGUUUUUCGGUGUUUUAAAGAAUAUUUUACACUGACAACGUCUGCUUUGACAAAACUUAUAUAUAACUGGAUUAUUCGGGUUAGGCACUUCACCAUGCACUCUUGAUGUAAAGUACUCCAACCUUUGGGAUUAUGCCCAACAAGUGCACUUUUCCCAUCAUUCUCAACCAGUUGGUCCAAUAUGUUUUAGGAUACCAAGAAAGUUCCAUGUGUUUGGUGUUUGUGUAGAGGGAUCAGGACUUCAUGGAAGUGUCAGUCUCAACAUGCUUGGUACUUUUAUAUCUGCAAAGUGAAAAACAAUGCAACAGGUUGCCUAAGUGUACUGUCCUGAAGUCAUCAAGAUAUGGGCACAAUAUCCUACAGCUUAUAGAUGAUCCAGAAAAUCCCUAGGAAGUCAUUUCUUAAGUUAAGCCCUCAAACUGUUAUCCAAGUACCACCAUUUUUGUGCAAGUGCAAUGGAGCCAAGUGUUAUAACAUGUAAAGAAUAUAUUAAAUCUGUGGAGGUAAAAAUGUAUUUACUGAAACAAUUGCCUCCCAAAGGUCUUUUACCUAAAGUACAGUAAUGAUGCAGCAAGACAUUAGUAUCUAUUUGAACAAAUUGGGCAGUUCUUCAAAUCUGACAUAGCUAAAAUACUGUGUGGCAAAAACCAGUUAUCCCGAAAACAGAAAUAAAGUUGGAUAUUGACAAUUAUGUGAAAAAGGUGGAAAGAGAAAGAGCAGUCUUUUACUCUUGAGUAUAAUUGGAGUUCCUAUAACAUAGUGGUCAUGUAUGGACUGUCGUUAUUUUCUUCAUUUCAAAUAUAGCUUAUGAUACAAGUAGAUGCUUCAUAAGAUAAGACUGCAAGUGUGUUGCAUAACUGGUGCUCUAAGGACUAAUGCUAUAUUAACAAGUGUGUGGAUCAUUGAUGCAUAGAUAUUAUUUAAUGGCUGCCUAUAUUAUUUUUGGCUGUCAGUUUACCAGUUACUAAUUUCCAUCAUUUUUACAAAAUGUUUAUUAGAUUAAGUUUAGUGUAAUACAACAUUUGUCAUUUUACUCUAAGUUAUAGAAUUCUAUUGAACCUAUGCAUGUUAUGAAUUGAUCAACUGUCAACUGAUCUUAAGCUUUGAUCUAGAUUGAAAAUGACUGUAUGUAACAUUAAGCUUCAGUACUUGUUGUCAAACUUUAAACAUUUUAUAGAACUUUGUAGAAUGUGAAAAAAACUUUAUCUAUAACAAUGAUAGGUCAGUUGAAUUUUUAUGUUGAUAUUAGUGUAGAAUCACAUUGUAAAUUAUCACCAAUCCUUAAAAUUGUUAAAAGAAGCAGCAAAAUCAAAGACUAUUCAAUGGUAGCUAGGCAACCAAUAUUCCCUUCAGUUGGGAAGGAUUUUAAGCAGGUGCAUCAUAAUAAAAAUACUUUAUAUGUUUGAUCACAUUGUAAAUAAUUGAAAAAUAAUCAUCACUAAGUUAUAAAAUAUUUAAAUAUAGAACCUUAAAUGUACCUGAAAAUAAAUGUUGUGAACAUGAUAUUAGAAGUAUCAUUUUUAAUUUAUAUUAUUAAGGAAUGGUGAGGCAGGCUGUUCUCUGAAUACCUUAUUAAGUUCAGUUACACAUUAAUUGUGGUAUUGUUUUCAUUUUUUUAUGAUAGUACAAAUUGCUAUUUUUAACUAAGUUGUAAUCUCCUGUAUGCCUGUAAAAAUUUGGAAAUUUAGAAAUUUAUGAAAAAAAUAAUAAUUAUUCAUUGGUUGCUAAGCAACCUAAUUAUAUGCAGAGACAGUUUUAAGUAAGGAACAUUUUUUUGUAGGAAUUAUCUUUAUGUCAUUUUAAUUAAAUAUAAUGCUAGUUAAUUCAAAGUCCUUACUUUGUUGUGAAACAAAGUAGUUAACACCAGAUGUUACUGACCAUACUUUUAUGAAAUUAUGUAUAUUAUCUAUAUAAAUUCAAAACCUAUAGUAAAGUUAGUUUAAGGAUACUUUGAUCCAAGAACUAUCAUUAAGAUUGUAUUUGCAGUUUUAAUUUUUAUAAUUUGUUUUUUUUGUAAUUAUGCUGCUUUGUUCAUAGUACUUUGAGAUCUUUUUUAAUCAAACUUAAAAUUUGUAAAAUUUAAAAGGAAAUUAUGGAAGAUAUUGUGGUUGCUUGGCAACACUGACUAAUUUUUACUUAUUGCUUAGGUAUUAUGUAAAUCAGUUAUACAGCAGAUAGAUAUAUUUAUGUAAUAUGGAAAGUAACAGUGAUUUGACCAAAUGCUUACUGGUUAUUGUAAAACAUACAGAGCAAUAUACAUGGAAAAAAUACUGAGUUGUGCUAAAAUUUGCAUGACUUACUAACACUAGUAAAGUGUACAGAACAUGGAUUGCAUGUUAUAUCUUCAAUGAAAAAUUAUUGAAAAGUAAUUAAUAGGCAUUGUUUAUAAUUUUAUUGAAAAUUUAUUUAUUUCUGCUGCUUUGUUAGCUGUAUUUUACCAAGAAAUUUGUAUAUUUACAAAAUAGAUUGCAAAAAAAUUAGAAUAUUCCAUGGUUGCUAGGUAACAGAAUAUAGCUUCCUUCAUGUUGUAUUUGUGUAAUUAUGUCCUUUAUUUAGUGUUACUACCUUUGGUGAUGUUAUACUUGAGUCAUCUUUCAUUUACUGUUGUAUAAAACUGUUGUCUGCUGUCAGAGUAAAUAUCUGAAUAAAGUUAAUAAAUGAAUGAUAAAUGGACACUGUGUUUAGUUCUUUUGAAGUUGUAUUAUGAUAUCUCUCAACAGUAAUAUGUCCUGUUAACACUGUAGAAAUGCAAUAGAACCAUUUGCAAGUGUGAAAGAAGAAUAUAUUUCGUAUUGAUACUUGCAAGUGUUAUAAAAUAAACCUAGCACAUAAUUUUUUACAUGAAAAAGGCCAGGAAGAACCCAGGAAUAGGUCCGUUGCUAGGCAACAUAAUGUAAAGGAUGCUUUAAUUAUGGUGGCUGUAUUCCAAAAAUAUUCUACAACAUUUAUUAACUUUAAUAACAUAAAACAAUUUUUUCACAAAAUUCAUUUUAGCUUCAAAAGUUGUUUUCCUCAUGCACCUUUAAACAUCACAAAGAUCAAAGAUUUUUAUGUGUAUUUUUAAUUACUUACUGGACACCAUACUCACAAAAAAUAUGUAUAUCUUUGUAAAUAAGAAAGACACGACCUUCAGAUUUUCAGAAAUUACUUCUGAUAUUUCAUAGAUUUAGAAAAUUAAAAAAAGUGAAAAUCAAAAAUUUGGUCAAGAAACCCCAUUUUUGCAUUCCAUGACACA